rnacentral:rRNA from 1 species
GGCAUAUUGAAGAUAUGUCACCCAGCAAUGGGAGCAAACCCGGAGAACUGAAACAUCUAAGUACCCGGAGGAAAAGAAAUCGAAGAGAUUCCGUAAGUAGUGGCGAGCGAAAGCGGAUUAGCCCAAAAGUCUUUAUAUGUUUAAUAGAACACACUGGAAAGUGUGGCCAAAGAGGGUGAUAGCCCCGUAUAUGAAAGGCAUACAUAGAUGAUAAAUGAGUAGGGCGGGACACGUGAAAUCCUGUCUGAAUAUGGGGGGACCAUCCUCCAAGGCUAAAUACUCCUGAAAGACCGAUAGUGAACAAGUACUGUGAAGGAAAGGUGAAAAGCACUUCGAAUAGAAGGGUGAAAUAGAACCUGAAACCGUACGCCUACAAGCGGUCGGAGCAGCGUUAAUGCUGUGACGGCGUGCCUUUUGCAUAAUGAGCCUACGAGUUAAUCUUACUAGCGAGGUUAAGGACUUAAGGUCCGGAGCCGUAGCGAAAGCGAGUCUGAAUAGGGCGGAUAGUUAGUGGGAUUAGACGCGAAACCUUGUGAUCUACCCAUGGGCAGGUUGAAGCUUUGGUAACACAAAGUGGAGGACCGAACCGGUUGACGUUGAAAAGUCUUCGGAUGACCUGUGGGUAGGGGUGAAAGGCCAAUCAAACUGGGAGAUAGCUCGUACUCCCCGAAAUGCAUUUAGGUGCAGCGUCGAUAUAGUUUAUUAGAGGUAGAGCUACUGAUUGGAUGCGGGGGUUUCAUCGCCUACCAAUUCCUGACAAACUCCGAAUGCUAAUAAAUGAUUGUCGGCAGUGAGGGCAUGGGUGCUAAGGUCCAUGUCCGAGAGGGAAAGAACCCAGACCAACAGCUAAGGUCCCUAAAUAUAUGCUAAGUUGAAAGAACGCGGUUGGACUGCAUUGACAGCUAGGAUGUUGGCUUGGAAGCAGCCAUUCAUUUAAAGAGUGCGUAACAGCUCACUAGUCGAGCGGUCCGGCAUGGAUAAUAAUCGGGCAUAAGCAUAUUACCGAAGCUAUGGCAGUAUUUAAUACUGGGUAGGGGAGCAUUCUAUUUGCGCCGAAGCAGUACUGUGAGGUAUUGUGGAGCGGAUAGAAAAGAAAAUGUAGGCAUAAGUAACGAUAAAGGGGGCGAGAAACCCCCUCACCGAAAGACUAAGGUUUCCUCAGCCAUGCUAAUCAGCUGAGGGUUAGUCGGGGCCUAACGCGAAGCCGACAGGCGUAGUGGAUGGACAACGGGUUAAUAUUCCCGUACCAGUAUAUUAAUAAAAGUGACGGAGUUGGAAACUAGGUGCGUACUGACGGAAUAGUACGUUGAAGUAAUCGCGAGAUUACGAUAGUACAGCAAAUCUUCGGAUGCGCUGAUAAUCCUGGGGACCCGCUUCCAAGAAAAGCGAAAUAUACUGCCCGUACCAAAACCGACACAGGUAGUCGAGGAGAGAAUCCUAAGGUGCUCGAGUGAGUCGUGGCUAAGGAACUAGGCAAAAUAGUCUCGUAACUUCGGAAGAAGAGACGCCUCCCUCCGGGGAGGCCGCAGUGAAGAGGCCCAGGCGACUGUUUAUCAAAAACACAGGACUCUGCUAAAUCGAAAGAUGCUGUAUAGGGUCUGACACCUGCCCGGUGCUGGAAGGUUAAGGAAGGGCGUUAGCGUAAGCGAAGCGUUUGACUGAAGCCCCAGUAAACGGCGGCCGUAACUAUAACGGUCCUAAGGUAGCGAAAUUCCUUGUCGGGUAAGUUCCGACCUGCACGAAUGGUGUAACGAUCUGGGCACUGUCUCAGCCACGAGCUCGGUGAAAUUGUAGUAUCGGUGAAGAUGCCGAUUACCCGCAAUGGGACGAAAAGACCCUGUGAACCUUUACUAUAACUUCGUAUUGACUUCGAGUAAACAAUGUGUAGGAUAGGUGGGAGGCAGUGAAGCAGGCACGCUAGUGUUUGUGGAGCCAACGUUGAAAUACCACCCU